AAGAAAGCCAGAAAAAACAAAAAGAAUCAAUAAGAAACUAUAGUACUUGAUAAUCACUUUAACGAGUAAAAAAAUAACGGCACUUGAUGCUGAAAAUGCAUAAAUGAUAGUCAUAGAAUCCUCUCUUAAAUCCGGCAUUAAAUUAGGAAAUAAAUAAACUAAAAAAAAACAAUAUCAAUCGAUAGUGCUUAAUCACUCAUAUCAUCUCACUGAACAAAAGGACUGGAUUCAAUCCUCUAAUUCUUUUGGAUUAAGAUAAAACAAAAUACAGGUUAUGAACUAAUCAUAUCAUAUAAUUAAAGUAACAAAAGGUAGAAGAAAUUAAGUAACACUUUCAACAUACAGCAAGGAAACGUGACUUAGCACGAUCUGAGCUGCUGGAUUAGAGUAAA